rnacentral:rRNA from 1 species
UACGUAGGGUGCAAGCGUUUAAUCGGAAUUACUGGGCGUAAAGCGUGCGCAGGCGGUUCUAUAAGACAGAUGGUGAAAUCCCCGGCUCAACCUGGGAAUGGCAAUGGAUACUGGCAGGCUAGAGUGCGGUAGAGGGUAGUGGAAUUCCCGGUGUAGCGGUGAAAUGCGUAGAGAUCGGGAGGAACACCAGUGGCGAAGGCGGCUACCUGGACCAGCACUGACACUGAGGCACGAAAGCGUGGGGGAGCAAACAGGAU